GAUAUGGUAGUCUAAAGGCUUAGGACGCUCGCACGGAAUGCAAGAGAUCCGGGUUCGACUCCCGGCCGAGACA
rnacentral:tRNA from 1 species